AGUUUUCCCACUUGUUAUUUUGACACAUUUUGUUAAACUGUGAAUAUUCUCAAAAAAAAUAUUUUUGUGCUUGCAUAUUAAACCAUUUAAAAUUAAAAGUGCAAUGCUAAAUUUGUUUACAGGGGGAUAAAGAAGCAAAUCUGGGUCUCCCCUUUUCCCCUCUGUGUGACCGCAACUCCACUUUAGUGGCCCAAUCACAAAUUGGAUUCAUUGAUUUCAUCGUGGAGCCAACAUUUACUGUGCUGUCUGAAAUGGUAAAGAAGAUUGUGAAACCAAUUAUUGAAGAGGUUUCUCCCUCUGAAUUCCACCACUCCAGCGUCAACAGGUUUACCAGCAGUGAUGAAAAAAGGUGUGCAGCUCCAGAGCCCAUCUGUGUUCUGACCACAGUUGACUUCAAAAGCUUCGAGAUGACAUGGAACCAAGAAAUACAACAAAACAGAGAAUUAUGGAAGGCCCAGGAUGCUAAAGGUAACAACAUUUAUGCACUGCCCCUUUUUGUCAAAUAGUCAAAUUUACCUGAUGUGCAGAGUUGUAAGAACUUACAGAUACAGCCACCUAGAAUAUACCCACGAAUCAGGACCAAAGUUUGGCCGGAGUUGGGGGUGGUCAAUGGAAUAUCCCCUGAUGGCGCAAACAAUGAUCUGAAAAAGAACAACCCUGUUUGCUCUUGUCAGUCUAAACCGCAAAAUACAGUACUUUAAACCAUAAAAUACCAUAGAAUAUGUGUCAUCACACUGCAAUACACUUCACAAUAUACCCAGACGCAUU